rnacentral:rRNA from 1 species
AUUGAACGCUGGCGGCAUGCCUUACACAUGCAAGUCGAACGGUAACGGGCCUUCGGGUGCCGACGAGUGGCGAACGGGUGAGUAAUGUAUCGGAACGUACCUUUCAGUGGGGGAUAACGUAGCGAAAGUUACGCUAAUACCGCAUAUUCUGUGUGCAGGACAGCAGGGGAUCGCAAGACCUUGCGCUGAUUGAGCGGCCGAUAUCAGAUUAGCUAGUUGGUGAGGUAAAGGCUCACCAAGGCGACGAUCUGUAGCGGGUCUGAGAGGAUGAUCCGCCACACUGGAACUGAGACACGGUCCAGACUCCUACGGGAGGCAGCAGUGGGGAAUUUUGGACAAUGGGGGCAACCCUGAUCCAGCCAUGCCGCGUGAGUGAAGAAGGCCUUCGGGUUGUAAAGCUCUUUCGGCCGGGAAGAAAUCGUAUCAGCUAAUACCUGAUGCGGAUGACGGUACCGGCAUAAGAAGUACCGGCUAACUACGUGCCAGCAGCCGCCGUAAGAC